UUAACAAAAGUAUAGUUGCUAAUAAUUAGUUUACUAUUGAAUGAAUGCUUAAAACAAGAAGAAUUACUCUUUAGCCAACUUGUUUUGUGCUAUAUUCAAACCUCACCUUUUAUUCAUCUGUUAAUUAUUUUAUUGCUUUCAAUUGAUCAAUUUUCUGCUUUAAUUUUUCAACAAAAAAAAAACUUCAUAAUUUAAAGUCUCCUUAUUCAGACUGUGAUUUUUAAUACAUAAAUCCUUUUUUUACCAUAAUAAUUAGGUAAUAUAAAUUGUUUGAUAAAAUUAUUGCUGAUUAUAGUGUUGAGUAAUAUAUAUGUAUAAUUAUUUCCUCUAUCAGUUCAUUACUAAUUCUCUAUUUUUCACUGUUACAGGGCAGGUUCUAGAUCAUAUUUUGGAUCAAACAAGGUUGGACACCAUGACCCGUCUUCAUCUUUGUCUAACCCCCCUCCCUAUAACUCGGACUGGUGAACUGACAAUCAAAAUGAUCACUGCAGUGAAUGUGUCCUCAACAACAAUGGGGGUCUUCAAAUUGUUUUGUUUUCUUUUCCCUGUUUGUGUUUUGUUAAUGUUUGUUUCAAACUGUUAUUCUUUGCAUAAUAGAAUGUAUCACUUCUUAAAAUGAAGUUGAAUUCGAGAAUUACAGGUACUUGUACACGUAAUACAUCUUGUUAAGUGAAUGCAGAACUUGAUUAUAUUCCAGAUUUAGUCUACGCAUUAAGAAGCGUGUAGGCAUUUUGAUUUUUAAAUGUGUGUGUGUGCAUGUGUGCUUUAAAAGACUGUAAUUGUUGGUAAUUAAGAAUAACACUAUAUUUAUUACAUCGGUUCCCCUGGUGUUGACUAACUGUGAUAUUAACAUAAACAUUGUCAUCUUAACAUUCCAGGCUAACUAAAAAUGAAAUGUUUCAAUUCGGCAUUUUUUCCCCAUUAAUUGAACAAAAUUGAUACAUGUAACAUGUUUUAUCCAUCAAGAUAGGACACAGUUAAGUUUAUAUAUAAUUUUUUUUACAUCCAUACAAAGUUGUUUGUUUAAACAGAGUAAGGAGAUUUCACUAGUAGCUCAUAUCAUAUUGAGGUUACCGGUAGCUUUUUGAAUUUUUAAGGGUUGAGAGGACAUCAAAAUGUAGAGAAUUCGUAUUAAAAUCGCUCAUCUUUAUGAUAUUAGUUCACCCGAGGCUGAGGCAAGAGCUCUAGUGAACUUUUCUGGUUGAAAUUUGUACAUUGUCUGUCAUUGUGUUUUUUUCUUCUUAAGAACCACAUGGACAAUUUCAAGUAAACUUGCCACAAAGUAUCUUUUGGUAAAUGGGAUUCAAGUUUGUUCUUAUCAAGGGUCACAUUUUCUUCCAAGGGGAGAUAAUUAUGAAUUCAUGAACAUCUAAAAAUCUUCUCAAGAACCACUGCUUGAAAAUAUGAACAUUAUUUGGAAUCAUUGUGAGGUGUAGAUGCAAAUUUGUUCAAAUCAUGACACUCUGGGGUAGGAUGGGGCCACAAAUAGGCAAUCAAAUUUUGACACAGGAAAGAGUCAAGUUUGAUCAAAUAGUGACACCUCAGGAGAAUAGAGUGGCCAUAACAGAUCAUAGGCAUAAAGGAAAUAAUAAAAAAAAAUUCUUUCUUAAGAUCAGUAAAACCAUUAUGUGUUAUAUUAAUUCAAAAGCAUCCAUGAUAGUAAGUGAAGACUCAAGUAAUUAGUUCAGUCAUACCCUCCUUCUUCCCCUGAACCACCUUUUCAAGACUAUCCUGAUUAGGUAGCCAGAGUGCUCAGGUGAGUGUUGUGGACACUGGGCCUCUUGUUAAACUAUUCAAUUGGUUUUCACUUUCUGAAUUUAUAUUUACUGGAGUGUAAAUAAGGACCUCAUUUCUCUAUCAGUCAAUCUACUGAUAAAUUGUUUGUUAGGGAUGAAUUUCUUUUUUAUUUUUUUCACAGCAAAUCCGUCCUCUUGUAAGCAUUCCAGACAUAUUAUAUUUUGAAUGUUCUAUACAAUUUUAGUUAUUUUCUGCACAUUCUAAUUAUUUUCUUGACGAUAUGAUUAUGUUUUGUGCAAUUUUAAUUUUUUUAAAUUGUAAAUAUUCAAAAAAAGGUGAAUGUGCUUCAUGAGAGAGUUUUCAAAUUGACUUUAAGCCUUACUGAGCUUAGAUGUUAGAAAAACAUUCUGUUGAACACUGGAUGACCCAUUUUAGAUAGGUAUUGCCUAAUAGCUACAUUAAUGGAGAUUGUUGUUAUUGGUGACCAUUGUAGGAAAAAACAA